AUGAGCAGUAUCUCUAUGUGUGCAGCAGCAACACAUGCUUCCAGUAGCUUCCAUCACAUGCCCCAGGUCUCUGUGUCCCCUUCCUGCCCCUUUUCCCUUUCCCAAAUUCCUCUCCUGCAUCUGAAUCUGUGUACUGGUGCUGCAAACCUGAGGGCUCUCCAACCCAGCUGGUUAACUAGUCAGCUGCACACAGAAUUCGGAUCUGUGUUACAGUGGGCAGUGACACUGUCCACCCUCCAAUGUCACCCUGUCACCAUGUUCAGGGGAUGCAUCCAUGCAGCCAUCAUCACCAACACCAGCAAGAUGAUAUUUCUGUUGGUCACUUUCAGAGGCAAAUGCUGGUCACUUUCAGUCAGAGGAAAUGCAGCACCAUUUUGA
rnacentral:rRNA from 1 species